CGGCCGCGGAGAGUUCUGGCUGCGGGCGGUUGAGUCCGCAUCAUUUAUUCAUCUUGGGUGUCAGGUUCCCGGGACGCCACCUGCGCCAUCACUACUGGGGUGAGGGAAUGCUUCUCCAACUAAAGCAACAGCAGCAGCAGCAGCAGCAGCAGAAGCAGCAGGUCUCUGCCUCCUACUUCCUCAAACUCCAGCCACAGGGACACAGUCACUGGACUGCUGCUCACAGGACUUCCCUUGCUGCUCA
rnacentral:lncRNA from 1 species